rnacentral:rRNA from 1 species
CCUACGGGAGGCAGCAGUGGGGAAUAUUGGACAAUGGGCGAAAGCCUGAUCCAGCAAUGCCGCGUGAGUGAUGAAGGCCUUAGGGUUGUAAAGCUCUUUUACCAGGGAUGAUAAUGACAGUACCUGGAGAAUAAGCUCCGGCUAACUCCGUGCCAGCAGCCGCGGUAAUACGGAGGGAGCUAGCGUUGUUCGGAAUUACUGGGCGUAAAGAGUACGUAGGCGGUUAUUCAAGUCAGAGGUGAAAGCCCGGGGCUCAACCCCGGAACUGCCUUUGAAACUAGAUAGCUAGAGUCUUGGAGAGGUUAGUGGAAUUCCGAGUGUAGAGGUGAAAUUCGUAGAUAUUCGGAAGAACACCAGUGGCGAAGGCGACUAACUGGACAAGUACAGACGCUGAGGUACGAAAGCGUGGGGAGCAAACAGGAUUAGAUACCCUGGUAGUCCACGCCGUAAACGAUGAUAACUAGUUGUUCGGGCACUUGGUGCCUGAGUGACGCAGCUAACGCAUUAAGUUAUCCGCCUGGGGAGUACGGUCGCAAGAUUAAAACUCAAAGGAAUUGACGG